UACGUAGGGUGCGAGCGUUAAUCGGAAUUACUGGGCGUAAAGCGUGCGCAGGCGGUUUUGUAAGCCAGAUGUGAAAUCCCCGGGCUCAACCUGGGAAUGGCAUUUGGGACUGCAAGGCUGGAGUGCGGGCAGAGGAGACUGGAAUUCCUGGUGUAGCAGUGAAAUGCGUAGAUAUCAGGAGGAAUACCGAUGGCGAAGGCAGGUCUCUGGGCUGACACUGACGCUCAUGCACGAAAGCGUGGGAGCGAACAA
rnacentral:rRNA from 1 species